rnacentral:rRNA from 1 species
UACGUAGGGUGCAAGCGUUGUCCGGAAUUAUUGGGCGUAAAGCGUGCGCAGGCGGUUCGUUGUGUCGGCGGUGAAAGCCCCGGGCUUAACCUGGGAAUGGCCGUCGAAACUGGCGAACUGGAGUGUGGCAGAGGGGGGUGGAAUUCCGCGUGUAGCAGUGAAAUGCGUAGAGAUGCGGAGGAACACCGAUGGCGAAGGCAGCCCCCCUGGGCUGACACUGACGCUCAGGCACGAAAGCGUGGGGAGCAAACAGG